UCUCUAACGACCCACAUCAGUCCAGAGAAGAACUGGACGUGUAUGGCUAUUCCUAGUUGUCUUAUGUGGAACGAUUUUCCAGCACUGCCUGGCGUGUUUAUGCAGUAGAUUUACCAAUAACUCACGGCUCCACCUGCCCUAGACUCGACAGUUCUGUUAUUUCGUGAUGGCGGCGAGUGCCAAGCGAAAACAGGAGGAGAAACACCUGAAGAUGCUCCGGGAGAUGACCAGUCUUCCUCCCAAUAGGAAAUGCUUUGACUGCGAUCAGCGCGGCCCGACCUACGCCAACAUGACAGUGGGCUCGUUUGUGUGCACCACCUGUUCCGGGAUACUACGAGGCCUCAACCCUCCACACAGAGUGAAGUCCAUCUCUAUGACAACUUUCACCCAACAGGAAAUCGAGUUCCUACAAAAACACAGCAAUGAGGUCUGCAAACACAUUUGGCUGGGGUUGUAUGAUGACAAGAGCUCCGUGGUCCCAGAUUUCCGUGAACCUCAGAAAGUCAAAGAGUUUCUUCAGGAGAAAUAUGAAAAGAAAAGAUGGUAUGUUCCUCCAGAUCAAGCCAAGGUGAUUGCCUCUGUGCAGGCCUCAAUAUCUGGUUCAUCGGCUAGCAGUACCAGCAGCACCCCAGAGGUCCUUCCCCAACCGCUCAAAACCCUACAUCUUAACAAGACUCCAUCCAACCAGUCCCCGGUGACCGGUCGUGUUCAGGUCCAGCCUUCAGGCCAGGAGAAGAAGUUUGACCUCCUCUCUGACUUGGGUGGAGAUAUUUUUGCUGGCCCCCAAGCUCAAACGGCCAGCUCCUCAAACUUUGCUAAUUUUGCAAAUUUUAACAGGCCCUCAGCACAAAAUAAUGCCACCACAGACUUUGCAAACUUUGAUUCCUUUGGAAAUGCCAGUGUAUCGUCACAUUUUGGCACAUCACCCCGCUCAAAGCCUUCCCUUCAACAAGCCCACACAGGUGGAGGCAUGUCGGUCUCGCCACUACCCAGUAUGGCUCCUGCGCCGCCUCAGAGCAGUUUAUCAGCAGAGGACCGUUACGCUGCUCUGGCCGAGCUUGACAGUGCCCUCAGUUCAACCACUACAAGUGGAAGUGUACAAGGUGUGUUUGGAGGUGUCCCAGGAGCUGCUGCACCUCCAGCUCAGCCAGUACUACCCAACAUGCAACAGGGUUUUGCAGCUGCCCCCUCCACAAACCCAUUUGUGGCUGCUGGGAUGGUUCAGGAGCCCAUGUCUACAAAUCCAUUCCAAACCAAUGGAAGAGCAGCAGCUUCAGCCUCAUUUGGCACUGGCUCCAUGAGCAUGCCUGCUGGCUUUGGGAAUUCAACCAGUUAUUGCCUGCCAACCAGUUUUAGUGGGACCUUCCAGCAGCAAUUCCCUGGCCAAGGUCCAUUUCCCCCACCUGCAGCCUACCACCAACAGCCCAAUGGGGGGUUUCCAGCCUAUGGACAGACCAAACCUAUGGGCAACUAUGGGCAGGUGGUCACAGGACCUGGCAUCUCCAGCAACCCAUUCAUGUACAGAUAUCGAAUCGUGCCAUCUCUUGAUCAUCUCUGAGUUUUAUGUAAAUGACACUGAUACUAGUGAGCUUUAGAGUGCAGUCUACACAAUAAUUAAUACUCUCACUUGACGAGCAAAAGAGAAGCAACUGUGGGUGGAGGCCCAGCGGGACAGUACCCCACAGGAGGUUCCUCCACAAACCCCUUUCUUUAAAGCGCUUUUUAUCUCAGCAGCAUCAUGCACACAUUCCGCAUCACCAAUGCUCUAAACAAUUGUCUUCAAGAAUCUGAAAGUAUUCUGAUUCUGUAUUUACUGCACUGAGUCUUCGACAUUAGAGAAAGAGCUGUGGAUAAGCAGGCGACGGUCCUCCCCACCCAUCCGUGUAUACAGGACAAAGAGCCACAAUUGUCCCUCAUCAUUUAUGCCUUCAACUCAAUAAGCAAUGUGUUAUGCCUAGAAAGUGAGCUCCUUGUGCAUAUCAGCAUUUGUAAUCCUUUUAAAAACAUGCUAUUCACAAACCGAGACCAGCAGAACACAGUGGGGUCUAGGGAUGCUGCGAUUAGCUGUACAAACAACUUCAGUUUGUCCUUAGCACCUGCUCUAGCAGAAACGUUUCAUUCUGUUUAGGCGAAAACACGUUGUGAGGAAUAGAUGCCACUAAUCACCUCAAGAAGGUAAGAAAACAUGGUUUGGAUUGAAACCUGACGCAUAUUGUGAGGGCAGAGGAGUUCAGCACAAGUGGCUAUGUAGAUGAAGCAGGUGUCUACAGCACAAAAGGACUGAGUAGAUGUAAGUGGAAGAGUUCACUUUACUAUGAUUUCCCCUCGGGUUCUCUAUAGCUGCACCUUGGGAAACUGGCAGGUGUGACCUGUAGUGUUCUCCGUCAAUGGAUUUUUGACCACAUCAAAAGUUACCUUUACAGGUAUACGGUUAAUGUGUACAUAUAUAAAUAUAUGUAUAAAAUAUUAAAUGAUUUUUAACUACUGUG